rnacentral:rRNA from 1 species
UACGGAGGAUGCAAGCGUUAUCCGGAAUGAUUGGGCGUAAAGCGUCCGCAGGUGGCUAUGUAAGUCUGCUGUUAAAGAGUGAGGCUCAACCUCAUAAGAGCAGUGGAAACUACAUAGCUAGAGUGCGUUCGGGGCAGAGGGAAUUCCUGGUGUAGCGGUGAAAUGCGUAGAUAUCAGGAAGAACACCGGUGGCGAAAGCGCUCUGCUAGGCCGCAACUGACACUGAGGGACGAAAGCUAAGGGGAGCGAAUGGG